rnacentral:snRNA from 1 species
GGAUGUGAGGGUGAUCUGGCUUUGAUAGCUGCCACCCCAUUGAUCAGCAGGGUUGAUUAGGCUUCCUACUACACCGCUCCAUGUGCAUCUUUCCCAAAGUGGCAUGUUUGGUUGAAGAGGAAAACCUUCCUCAAAUAGGGACAGACCGGUCUUGGGUUGAGUGUAUACAAGUAGCUGUGUUCCCCUGCUCAGAUCUUUUGAUUCCACAUACGAGUGAAUCCAUUUAUUAGUCGUCUUUCUUUUUUUAAUGUUAUGCCUUUUCUUUUUA